rnacentral:snoRNA from 1 species
CCACGGUGAUGAGCUUCCACCCAUGGUCCGUGGUUUCUGAAACCCAUGAUUUCUGUGGAACUUCUGAGGCU